ACUGCCCCUAGAAGUUACAAGUGUGGCUGCUGUGUCACAUGUGCGCCAGCAGGUGGCAGAGAGGAGCAGUAUUAUGUCUAUGCUCAGUGUUCUGACCUAUGAACAUCUGAAUGAUUAGUAGCCUGACAUU